rnacentral:rRNA from 1 species
CACGUAGGGCGCAAGCGUUGUCCGGAAUUAUUGGGCGUAAAGAGCUCGUAGGCGGUCUGUUACGUCUGCUGUGAAAACUCGGGGCUUAACCCCGAGCCUGCUUCUGAUACGGGCAGACUAGAGGUAUGCAGGGGAGAACGGAAUUCCUGGUGUAGCGGUGAAAUGCGCAGAUAUCAGGAGGAACACCGGUGGCGAAGGCGGUUCUCUGGGCCUUACCUGACGCUGAGGAGCGAAAGCGUGGGGAGCAAACAGG